UCAUCUCUUUCAACUUUCGCAUCUUCUUUUCAUCAUCUUCCAUCUUCCAGUUAAGAUCAAUUUUCUAAUUUAAGAAAUUCCCUCAUUCACCAAGGGCCAAGAAAGAAACUGAAAUCAUCAGGAACUUCCGAAGCCUCGAAAACCAUUUCAUGAUCUUCACGAAUCUUCACCAAGCAAAGAGUUCACUUGAUCUGUUCAACUCAGUUUACCGCUGAUCAUCAUCUCUCUUUUACUCUUUGACAGUUAUCAUCAUCAUCAUCACUCUCUCAAUCCAGUAAUCAUCACCUCCAUCAACCAAUCUAGUCGGUGGAUUCAUAUUACGAACCACCAAUAACCGAUUGUCAGCCAUCUUCUUUUUUCAUCUUCUCCAUUUUUUGACAUUUUCUUUUGUUUCUCUUUUUCAAUCAUCUCAAUCAUUACAUGUUGUCACCUUUACUCUUAUUGCUGUACUUUGAAAAUCUCUUAUCAUCUUCAUCUUCAUAAUGAUUCUCAUGCAACAGUUUAUAUUGUUUACCAUUCAAGUUAAUAACCCUCAUCAUCUUCAUCAUCAAAGGCCAACACUUUAUCUUCAUCAAUUGUCACCAUCAUUCUUGUUAAACUAAAUCUAAUUACUCAACACUAAUUGUCUACAUUCAAUUGAUUCAAUAUUUUCCUCAGUGUUGAUCGUCAUGUCUUCUUCAUCAAUUUACUGGUCAUUGUUGUUUCUAAUUGUUUAUUGUCCAUUUUUCCUUCUGUUUACAAGUCAAUCUACUCAAGCAAUUAACUUGAUCAAUUCAAGAAACUCUAAAUCAUCAUCGUAUUCACAUGGAGGUAAAAAAUUAGCAACCAAAUCCUCCAAUGAAACCUCAUCACAAUCAAAGCCAAAAUUUUUUCUCCCAACAAGUUUAUCAAUCAACAAGGAAAUUAAAGUUUACAUUUUUGAUCAAGAGGUUAAAAGAUUCACAUUCAGCAUUGAGAGUAAACUAGAAGCUCCAUUAACGUUAACAGUUACUCCAUGUUCGGACCCGAUCAAGUGGACAUUUGAGUUUAUCGAAGACACCGAUUCGAAAGAACUUAUCAGUUUGAAGAAACGUCGUCGACAUGGUAAACAUGGACAUCGUAAUCAUAAUCGUUUGCGACAUCGAAGACACCGAAAUGAUGGUAAACAAUUACAAUCGUCAACCGAUGGAUCUCAAAGUGAAUCGUCCACAAGUCGUUUACUAUUUAAAUACAAUGGAAUUAAUCGUAAAUCAUUUACCGAUAUUCGUCGUCAAUAUUCUGGUCAAUAUGUUAUACAAUUAUCGUCGAGCAAAAGAGCGACCAGUGCAACGUUAAUCCUUUCUCACUUUAAUCCUUAUCCAUUAUUGCCCGUUAAUGAUAAUCUGUCAACCUUAUCAUUAACAGAAUCAAGUGUCACCUUAACCUGGCAACAAUCACCCAGUGAACCUGAUUAUCUUGUUGAUUAUUAUGCGAUCAUUAAUCAAGAUCAUAAUGUAAUCUCUUACUGUGAGUAUCUUCAACAAACGGAAUCUUUACUUAAAUAUCCAUCAUCAUCUCUAUCAUUACGAUCAUCUAAUAUCUCAAUGGUUAAAGUACCAAUUACACUGACAACCAAAUCACCAGUUGAAUUUAAUGAUGAUUUUGGUAAUAAUUUGAUCCGUCUCGGGGAAAAUAAUAUUGAUAAUGAAGUUAUCAAUCCAUCCAUGAGUCCAUUUGUCCGUUGGUAUGAACGUACCAUGGCUAAAACAUGGGAAUCUGAGUUAUCCCGGAAAAAUUGGACCUCUCGCAAUAUAUUUCGUAUCGAACCUGUUGGAAAAGGUUCAACUCAUUACCAGCACACUUUCAGGUCACUUGAACCCUCCACAAGAUAUUAUAUCGAUGUGAUUGCCGCAAUCAAACACACUGGACGUACUUCAUUGUACAAAGGAUUCAAUGUCACCACCAAAGAGAAACCUAAGAUAAUGUCAUCGUCUUUACCUUUGUCAUCAUCUUCGAUUGCUGUCUCAUCUAAUGCGAGGAAAUCCAAUUCUUUGUUAACUAAAUUGAUUAAAUUACGAGAUAAACGGUUGGUCAGUGUUUCACUUUCCAGGAGAAAUAAUUACACCGAGAUAAUGACCUACAAUUACAAUGAGAGUGAUUUUAAUGUUGGUGAAAGCCUUUGGCUGUUUGUUCAAGUUUGUUCGGCUUCGUUAACACCGGUUGAUGUUAUAAUCCACGGAGCUAAUCCACCGGAUAAUUCAGUGUUAAUCAAGGAAAUUGGAAUCACCGGAAGUCGAGUGAUCAAUAUCCCGAUGGGAUUUAAAUGGUAUAACCAAAGUAUUUACAGUAAAAGUUUAACCGAUGAAAAGCAAUCAAUGGUUAUCUCAUUAAACGCCAACAGUUUACAACAUUAUCGUCAUCAUCGUCCUCCUCUUGAAGUGAACUUAAUGAUGACCAAAAAAAGACUUCAUAUUCCGUAUCCACAAUUACCACGGGAUCGGAUAAUUCGUGUUCUUGACCUUCUUUCAACAUGUAAUUCAGUUUCGUUGGCCUGGAUCGCAUCCCCAGAUGAGAAAGCCCGUUAUUGUAUUUACGCGGCUUCCAUUCAACCAAAUGUACCCGAAUCAUUGAUUCACAAUGAAUUAAAGUCACUCGCUGGGUUUACCGUUAAUUCAACAUCUCCAUCAUUCUGUGAAUCUCUCCAAUCAACAGCAAUCAAUGAAACAGAUAAAAUUAAAGGUAGAAAACAAUUAAAAUCCAAUACGAAGAAAAAAAGUAUUCUUGACAAAUCGAAGCAUUUUAAACGAUUAAAAUGCCGUCGAUUUGCUCCUGGUACUAAUUCCCGUUUACACCAAGUGAUUAUCCAAGAUGUUGAUAAUCUAAAUCCAUCAACUGAAUAUGUUUUCCUGGUUGAACUGAUCAAAUCCAACAAAGGAUUAACAGCUUAUUACAAUCCAUUAACAACAUCAACAAAAUCAAAGGAAACAUGUUAACAAUUAAAAUCCAUUGACAGUAAAGGUAAAUUUACAUAAACUACAAUUUACUAAUUAUCUUGAUGUUUAAUUUAUGACUCGGCUAAUUGUCCAUCACAUAAAAGAUUAAGAUUCACGAAAGAGGAUCAACAAGGAACGUCAAAAAUGUUUAUCAUCCUCAUCAUCGUAAACAGAUCAUCAAAAUUUAUCUAAAAACCAUUGAGUAAAAUAAUCAACAAUCAAUUGGAAUAUGAAGAUGACCACUUUUUACAAUUUACCCUCGAGUGUUGGUCAAUAAUUAUCAUUGCUGAUUAUAUGGACAAUUAUAAUAACUUUUUUUUCUCAUGAUAAACUUGAUCCUGUCUCUCAAUCUUAAUAUCCUCUAAUUGAUGUGAUUUUCACCAAGAGAAGAUCAAAGAAGAAGAAGAAAAAAAAAUCUCUCAUUCUACUUUUCAUCUUAAUCAUAUUCGUGAUUUACAGAUUAUAUUUAUUACCAAUCCAACUAACGGACACUCACUAGACACACUAAAUAACAGAAAUUGGAAAAACAUCCCAAUCAAAAUGAAGAUUACACCAAGAGGCAACAAUUAACUUCGGGAAAAUUGUUUACAAUCAAUGAUUUUAGUUGACCAGUUUGAAGACGAUUUUUGUUUUCCCUUAAUUGUAACCAAUUUUCAUUCAUUCAGCUUAAUGUCAUGUAAAAAUGUUAUUAGUGUCACAAUUAAGCUGAUUGUUUCGUUUUUUUUUCGGCAACUUUCACCUUUUUUCUGGUCUUAUUCAUAUUCAUCAAUUUAAUCUAAUGCAAUCAGUUUGAUUACGUUAGUAAUUUAAUGCUCAUCAAUCUCAUAAUUUAAAUUGUGCUUCAUAUUGUGCUUUUUGUAUUUUAUAUUAAUUACAGAGAAAAAGUUAAUCAUUAAUUAAACUGAAGACAAAUGUAACAUCAAUCCAAUUAAAUUGAUUGAUUUUCGUUUGAUAUGAAUUACAAUUAAACCAUAUUUCAACCUGA